GAUGAACGCUGGCGGCGUGCCUAAUACAUGCAAGUCGAGCGAACAGACGAGGAGCUUGCUCCUCUGACGUUAGCGGCGGACGGGUGAGUAACACGUGGAUAACCUACCUAUAAGACUGGGAUAACUUCGGGAAACCGGAUCUAAUACCGGAUAAUAUAUUGAACCGCAUGGUUCAAUAGUGAAAUACGGUUUUGCUGUCACUUAUAGAUGGAUCCGCGCCGCAUUAGCUGGUUGGUAAGGUAACGGCUUACCAAGGCAACGAUGCGUAGCCGACGUGAGAGGGGGAUCGGCCACACUGGAACGGAGACACGGUCCAGACUCCUACGAGAGGCAGCAGUAGGGAAUCUUCCGCAAUGGGCGAAAGCUUGACGGAGCGACGACGCGUGAGUGAUGAAGGUCUUCGGAUCGUAAAACUCUGUUAUUAGGGAAGAACAAAUGUGUAAGUAACUAUGCACGUCUUGACGGUACCUAAUCAGAAAGCCACGGCUAACUACGUG
rnacentral:rRNA from 1 species